AACGCACAUUGCGCCCCGUGGUAUUCCGCGGGGCAUGCCUGUUCGAGCGUCAUUUCAACCCAUCAAGCUUCUGCUUGGUCUUGGGGCCUGCGGUUCCGCAGCCUCUAAACUCAGUGGCGGUGCUAUUGAGCUCUGAGCGUAGUAAUUAUUCUCGCUAUAGGGUCUCCGUGGUUACUUGCCAGCAACCCCCAAUUUUUAUCAGGUUGACCUCGGAUCAGGUAGGGAUACCCGCUGAACUUAA
rnacentral:misc_RNA from 1 species